rnacentral:rRNA from 1 species
AUUGAACGCUGGCGGCAGGCCUAACACAUGCAAGUCGAACGGUAACAGGAAGAAGCUUGCUUCUUUGCUGACGAGUGGCGGACGGGUGAGUAAUGUCUGGGAAACUGCCUGAUGGAGGGGGAUAACUACUGGAAACGGUAGCUAAUACCGCAUAACGUCGCAAGACCAAAGAGGGGGACCUUCGGGCCUCUUGCCAUCGGAUGUGCCCAGAUGGUAUUAGCUAGUAGGUGGGGUAACGGCUCACCUAGGCGACGAUCUCUAGCUGGUCUGAGAGGAUGACCGGCCACACUGGAACUGAGACACGGUCCAGACUCCUACGGGAGGCAGCAGUGGGGAAUAUUGCACAAUGGGCGCAAGCCUGAUGCAGCCAUGCCGCGCGUAUGAAGAAGGCCUUCGGGUUGUAAAGUACUUUCAGCGGGGAGGAAGGGAGUAAAGUUAAUACCUUUGCUCAUUGACGUUACCCGCAGAAGAAGCACCGGCUAACUCCGUG